rnacentral:lncRNA from 1 species
CUCUUCCUCGGGCGAUUGAGUCCUUCCGUUGACACAUGGCAAAGUGAGUUCCUUCCAGUGUUUAGACGCUAGAAACUCCUACCAAGCCAGACACGGGUAGGGAACUGCUAUUUUGACCAGAAAGUUUCUUCAGGUGAGAAAUACUUGGUCGUAGAAUCAGGCCUUGACAGACCCACCUACCCUGAGAACUUAACGAGGACCUGAGCGCUAGAACGCGGAGGAAUCAUUUCUUCGGUUGCUCUUUAGUCUGGCCGUAUCGUUGGCUGAAACAGCUGUCAAUUUGAGGGUAGCUCCACCUGCGGCCCUAGGGAACUCUGGGACUUGUAGUCUUUAAAUGUGAUUGUUGGUGCUGAGUUCUUUGUCAGCGCUUCGUGACGUUUACUGUGGUUUUGGAGUGUUCCAUUGUGCUUUUAUCUUUUCCCUUAUCAGCACUGUUAAAGCCAAAGACCACUUAGGAAAACUGGAAAGACUUAAUGUAUGUUCGUAAAGAUAAAUAUUAGUGUUUCAAACGUUUCACUGCUGUGCCCGCCUCUCUACUAAACGUUCGUAAUUCGUGUACUAAGUGGAUCGUAAAUGUCUUCGUUUUUGAAAUUCUUUCCUUUACAACAAAAUGGCCUUGAUUUUCGUAUUAGUGAUCAUCCUAUAAUAUUUGAAGAGUGCCCUGAAUUUAACAGCUGUAUAUCACUAUUGUCGCUGCUUACUUAAAUCGUGUUGAUGUGACACGAUGCAGAACUGACUGCUGUCUUGACAGGAAAACAUUGCUGUAGUUAAAACGUCAAGCGUGACGGAUUCCAGGAGGCGCAUAUGUUGUAUAUCCUUCAGGAUUGCAUUAUGAAGUGUUUUUUCAGUAGUAAUGGAAACAUGUUGGUUUGAGGCAGUUACCCUGCCUUUAUUGAAUCAUGAACUCCUUCACUUGUGAGCAUGUUUAAUAAUAUUUCGUCACUUUGUGUUUAGCAAAAGUAAAUAUCAACCUAUAAAUACCACAACUUCCUGAGUGGACUCUUUUCCUUUCAACACUUUUUUUUUUCUGUGUAUCAUGUAAUACAAACUUCACUUUUUGUAAGAAAAAGCAGGGAUUGUUGCUGGACUAAAAAUUAAGUAUAUUUUAGAGGAUUCAAGCCAAGCAGAAGCUGUUUUUUAUGAUGCUUGGAAUAGUUGCUUUUUUGUGUAAAAAAAAAAAAUUUUUUUAAAUUUUUUUGUGUGCUGUUUGUAAAUGAUCACAGAAUGUUUCAGGUUUUAUUUGUAAAUGAAAACAACGCGGGAUCCGAGCCGCGUCUGUGACCUACACCACAGCUCACAGCAACGCCGGAUCCUUAACCCACUGAGCAAGGGCAGGGACUGAACCUGCAACCUCAUGGUUCCUAGUCAGAUUCGUUAACCACUGCGCCACAGACGGCAACUCUGGUAUGUGAGUUUUGAGCAAGUUAUUUAAUCUCUCUAAACUUCAAAUUACUCACUAGAUGACAAUGUAUCCCUUUAAGGGAGGUUAUAAAGAUUAACAUAGUAUAAGGUACCCAGCACAGUGCUUGCAACAAUGCAGAUAUUCAGCAACUAUGGUUCAAAUUCCAAGAUUUGGUCCACUUGCUUUGAGAGAUUGUAGAAAGGAUGGCAAAAAGGAUGUUUGCUGAGUCACUCAGUUGUUGGAAAUUAUCCUUGAGAAAAAAAAUUUAGUGAUAGCACUAGGAGUAUACAACAGCCAGGAAGUGGAAUCAAAGAAGUUUAAAUGAUGUAAAUUAAUGUUAUAUGUAAAGUAGAGGAGAGCCCAGGAAAGAAGACAGUUGUGUGAUCUUAUGUGAAAUACAGACUCUGACUCUUCUCAUAUCCUUAGGGUUUUUUUUUUUUUUUUUUUUCAUGUCAUCUCCAACUGACCUUUGUGACAGUGUAGUACAAAACCAUCUGAGCUUAAAAAAAAAAAAAAAAAAAAAUGAAAGCCUUCUGUUUUCUUUUGUAGAUUUCUGGAACAUUUAACCCCCAGAAUCAAAUACCACUGGUAUCCAUACUCAUCAUCUGCAUCUUUUUGCAUUUUCUUGUUUGAUUCUCUCUUACCUUUAUUCUAAAGAAGUAUGUAAUAGGAGGUUGGAUUUAAUUUUCUAAGCAUUAUAUUAAAUUUUCUUGCCAGAUAACACAAUAUUCCAGUUGUACCAAGCAUUAUAAAGAUGGAUCUGAUCAUAAUGCCAGCAUCUUCAUAUCUAAACAAUAAUGAUAUCACAUUGCAACAAAGCCAUGUUUGUUUUUUUCAUUUAAAGAAAUACCUUGUUAUGAUGGAGUUAAAAUACAGAGUUUCAGUGGGAAUCAGCUGCUUAAAUAAGUUUGUAAUCAGAUAAUUAUAAAUGAUUACAGAUAAUUGUUUGAAGGCUGAUGAAGAAAGUUUGGAAGAGAAAAAGAACAUUAAGUGGAUUAAGUCUCAGUCACGAAUAUGUGAAUCUAAUUAAUUAGCAUUUUUCUCACCCUUAAAUUCCCAAAUUGAAAAUCUAUAUAUAGUAGUUGUUGACUGACUACUUUUGAUAAUCAUUUCCCACUUAAACUUGUAGCAAGUAAUACUUUUUCCUGUAAAUCUUCCACAUUAAAAAAUGUAUUUUGAAAGAUAUAUUUGCUACUUAGAGCAGCAUGAGCAGUGAAGGGAAGAGAACUGUUUCUUUCAAAAAGCAAAGUCAUUCCUACUGUAUAGCAUAGGGAACUAAAUUCAGUAUAUUGUAAUAACCUAUAAUGAAAAAGAAUGUGAAAGAGAAUAUAUAUAUAUAUAACUGAUUCACUUUGCUGUAUACCAAACUGACAUAACAUUGUAAAUAACUAUACUUUAAUGAAUAUAUAUGUGUGUGUGUGUGUGUAUGUAUAUAUAUAUGAAUAUGUAUGUGUGUAUGUGUGUAUGUAUGUAUAUAUAUAUGAGUUCUCUGGUGGUUCAGUGGGUUUAGUAUUUGGCAUUGGCAUUGCUGUGGCUCAGGUUGCUGCUAUGGUGUGGGUUCGGGCCCUGGCCUCAGAACUUCUGCAUGCCAUGGGCAUGGGGGAAAAAAGCAUAUAUAUGUGACAAAAAUAGAGUGCAAAGUCAUAAAUCCCAAGUAAGUCUAAGUGGGCUAAAUUACAAGCUUUGUCCCCCAACCCAAGAGAAUGGUCGUGCAGGAGAAAACAGUGCUUCUCCAUCCCUUGUAGAUGACUUGACUGCCUGUUUGAUCAGCUAAGAUAAGGAAAAGCAAGGACUUCUGAGUUUUGCUUGGUCUUUGAGUAGAGAGAUGGGGGAGGUAAAGGCAGAUGAUUCAUGUGGUGUGGUUACCAUUAUGGUCAUUUCUUAUGUAUAGGGAGGACUCUGGGCAUGAUUAGGAAACUGGAGAAUAAAAAAAUGAGAAAUGAAAAUCAUGUUCCCAAAACAAUAUAAAGUACUAUAUCUCUCAUGGCCAGGAAUUUACAUAAAUGUGUUUUGUUUAGGAAGUGUUUCUUUUUUCUUUUUUUCUUUUUUCUUUUGGCCAUGCCCGUAGCAUGCAUAAGUUCCCAGUACAGAAAUUGAACCCACAGCACAAGAAUGACCCAAGCUACAGCAGUUACAAUGCCAGAUCCUUAACUGCUAGCCUUCCAAGAAACUCCAGAAAAUGUUUUUCCUUCAUGUUAGUUGAUUCAUUCUUUCAACAAAUACUAUGGAUCACUUAUUAUGUACCCAGUAUAUUUUACAUCCUGGAGUUAGUGUUAAGCAAAACAAAGUCCCUCCCUUCACAAAGUUUAUUCUCUACUGAGCAGACAAAUAAUAUCCAUAAUUUAUAUUUAAAAGUGUAUAAUGUAAUUUCAUCUAAUGACAAGUCCUAUGCAGGGUGGAAUAUUCAAAUAUUUAACACCACAAUGGCCAGCUGGUAAUAACUGAUAUGGUUUCACAUCUCCAUGUACGCCCCUGCAUUUGCUCUCUUCCUUCCCUGUCUCACUUGUCUUUCCUGAUCGCUCCAACUUCCUUGACAUUGAACUUUCCAAUAAAGUGUUCAUAUAUAAGCUUUAGCUUGUAAAUGUUUUCCAACAUACCCCUUCAUACCUCUGCCCUAACCCCUCAGAACGUGGGCCAGCCUUAGACUUGUGACUGGUAUUAAUGCCUCUUGUUGCUGGGCAUGGACAGGUCUGGGAGAUAUUAGGAUAGCAAGAACGGAGGAUGCACUCAGGAUCUGAGGCAGCAGCUAUUUGCUUGCUAGCGUAGAAGUAGAGAUUUCAAUAUUACAGUGAUUGAUGUAGCUAUGAUAAAGCAAAUCAGCUGAAAAAUCAGUCCUGCUCUU